GGUCUUUACACUCUGAGUUUGAAUUUACAGUUUGUGAGGAGUAGGAACUUUUACAUUCAUUUAGAAACGAAGUUAACAUCAAUGAAGGAAUUAAAGAAACACAAUGGAAGAGACCCGGAACAGGAGGAGAAUUCUGAUUUAGAUGUCAACUUUGCACUGAGCUAAUUUGGGGUUCUAGAUUUUUACUAGAAGCCAACUAGUUCAUGAUUUCCAAUUUAAGCCACUAACAAAGGUGUAAAAUCAUUUACAAAGCUCAUGAUUUGGGUGUGGGGCUGGAGAGGCUGAUGUUCAGAGAAUAUGGUAUGGCUAAAUAGCAGGGGUUCUUUGAAUUUCAUAUGCUUUAGGAUGGUUACUUCUUUUUUUUUUUUAAAGUAGGCUCCACACCCAGCAUGGAGCCUGAUGUGGGGCUUGAACUCACAACCCUGAGAUCAAAACCUGAGAUGAAAUCAAAGGUGGGAUGCUUAACCAACUGAGCCACCCAAGUGCCUCUAUGAUAGUUCCUUCUAAAGACCACUGUCCUUGAGGUCAAUAAUGAGUUGGUGGAAACUUGGGAUGUCAAUACCUUCUGGAAGGACUAAAUCUAUUUGUUACUUAUGAUUUAUGCUCGAUGGGAGCUGCUUAACAGGUCAACACUUGAGUGAUGUCAGCCUCAUGGAGCAGUAGUCUUGGGAAGGAGGGAGUGAAUUGAGGAAAGACACAUCGAUCAGAAGAGGAAGGAAGAGGAGAAAGGAGGAGGAUGAAGAUACUAUUUGAAUAGAAAGUUUAAAAGUAAUAAUUAUCUACUUGAAUGACUUGAGAAAUAUUAUGGAAAAGGUGCUGAGGAUCAAAGAUGCAAUACAAAUUACUGGGUCACGUUUUGAACCCUACUUGUGUGGUCAUCAGAACGUCUAGGAGCAGGAGGAGGCUGGCAGCAGAUGGAGAGCUGUGGGAGUGUCGCAGGAACAGCAGGGAAGGCUGCUGAAAUUAUCUCAACAGAGAAUGGUGAUUUUGAUACUGUGUUCUGCCACCAAGCACAGGUUACAGUGAAGAUCAAAAGCUGUUACCUUCCUGAAAGUUCCUGCGACAAUGACGGCUUGUGGUAGAUCCCCAACCUAUGCUGGCUGAAUCGGAAGGGACAGGUGUAGAAGUUAGUGCCAGAAGUCACUGUGGGUUCUGCGGUGUUCAGCCCCGGGACACGGCACGGAUCUCCGGCUAGACUAAAUGACACCCUGUCUUCACCACCAGGGGGG